rnacentral:lncRNA from 11 species
GUGCUUCUCUGGUGCCUCCCAUUUGACGUAAUUCCUUCCUUCUUGGCGAAACUUUCUACAUCUCCUGACGCAGGACCUUGGUGAAACCGCUGCCAAUAAAGGGCCGGAGGAAGAGGUGAAACUAAGGACGACAGGAAUAAAGGAGAGAAGCUCAGGAUUGAGAACCAACCCCUUCCCUCUCCAGUCAUUUCCACUUGACUAUUUGGCGAACCCCCGUCCUAUAGAGUCCUUCUGGAACAACAUGGCUGUUGGAGGAGAGAGUGAGAGCAAGGAAAAAGAAAAAGAAGAC